GUAUGUGAAGGCAAUCUAGCUGUGACAUCUGUGACUCCAUUGAUUUUGAGGUUUGAUUCAGCUGAUCUGGCUAGCUAGAUGGAUGUCCCCUUCCUCCCUCACUACUCCACAUGCAUCCCUCCAGAGGCUGCACUCUUGGUGAAAGAGGACAACCACCUCAAUAGAGGAGAACCAUUUCCUUGAUCAAGGGAACAUGAGUAGCUUCACUCCUCUGCUAGAACCCCCAAGCAAGCUCUCAAAAUAAGUCACAUACUAGCCCAUAAAGCAAGUUAAAGUAAAUGCAAAAACAUCAAAAUUUU
rnacentral:snRNA from 1 species